CGAGCUAAUACCGCGAAAGUUGAGCGUUCACGCUUAUCGGCUGUAAAUCAAGACAGACUCAGGGGUCUGUAGCUCAGUCGGUUAGAGCACCGUCUUGAUAAGGCGGGGGUCGUUGGUUCGAAUCCAACCAGACCCACCAAUUGUCUGGCGGUAGAAACCUGAGACGUCUCUGUAUGGGGGCAUAGCUCAGCUGGGAGAGCACCUGCUUUGCAAGCAGGGGGUCGUCGGUUCGAUCCCGUCUGCCUCCACCAAUCUUCAAUGACAAACGUUCGGGUCAGUUGACUCGAGUCU
rnacentral:misc_RNA from 1 species